GUCCUUGGGUGACGCUCUUUCUUCUUCUUAAAACCAAGAUAACUGGCCCAGGAUGAGAUAAGCGUUCCGGCAAACCAAGUAUUGGAUGUAUGAUCACGUCCAGGAAGCGUCGGGCCUUUGGGGAUCAGCCUUCAAAUAUGCUCCACCAGGCAUUCUGAGCCGUGGAUUGAAUAGUUUUUCCCAAAGCUACCAAUAUCCCUCCGACCACAAAGAAACAGUGGGACAAGAUAACACUGUGGCCGUUAUGAAGCCAGGCGCCGAAAGUUGGUGACGUAUCCCAGCUAAUAAAUGUUAUUUAUGAGAAAACUACAGUAAUGUGGAUGUCAGUUCUUCUUUAUGC